rnacentral:rRNA from 1 species
GACGAACGCUGGCGGCGUGCUUAACACAUGCAAGUCGAACGGUGAAGCGCCUUCCUUUUUGGUGGGUGUGGAUGAGUGGCGAACGGGUGAGUAACACGUGAGUAACCUGCCCCCUUCUUCUGGAUAACCGCAUGAAAGUGUGGCUAAUACGGGAUAUUCUGGGUCUGUCGCAUGAUGGGUCUGGGAAAGAUAUUGUUUCGGUGGGGGAUGGGCUCGCGGCCUAUCAGCUUGUUGGUGGGGUGAUGGCCUACCAAGGCGGUGACGGGUAGCCGGCCUGAGAGGGUGGACGGUCACACUGGGACUGAGACACGGCCCAGACUCCUACGGGAGGCAGCAGUGGGGAAUAGUGCACAAUGGGCGCAAGCCUGAUGCAGCGACGCCGCGUGGGGGAUGGAGGCCUGCGGGUUGUGAACCUCUUUCGCCAGUGAAGCAGGCCUGUCUCGUUUGUGGGUGGGUUGACGGUAGCUGGAUAAGAAGCGCCGGCUAACUACGUG